rnacentral:rRNA from 1 species
AAAACACAGAUGAACGCUAGCGGCAGGCUUAAUACAUGCAAGUCGAACGGGAUUCGGGGUAGCAAUACUUUGAUGAGAGUGGCGCACGGGUGCGUAACGCGUAUGCAACCUACCUUUAACAGGGGAAUAGCCCCGAGAAAUCGGGAUUAAUACUCCGUAACAUUGCGGUGUGGCAUCACACUGCACUUAAAGCUGAGGCGGUUAAAGAUGGGCAUGCGUGACAUUAGCUAGUUGGUGAGGUAACGGCUCACCAAGGCAACGAUGUCUAGGGGUCCUGAGAGGGUUAUCCCCCACACUGGUACUGAGACACGGACCAGACUCCUACGGGAGGCAGCAGUAAGGAAUAUUGGUCAAUGGGCGCAAGCCUGAACCAGCCAUGCCGCGUGCAGGAAGACGGCCCUAUGGGUUGUAAACUGCUUUUGUCAGGGAAUAAACCCCCGCUCGUGAGCGGGGCUGAAGGUACCUGAAGAAUAAGCAUCGGCUAACUCCGUGCCAGC